rnacentral:rRNA from 1 species
AUUGAACGCUGGCGGCAGGCUUAACACAUGCAAGUCGAGCGGAGUGAUGGUGCUUGCACUAUCACUUAGCGGCGGACGGGUGAGUAAUGCUUAGGAAUCUGCCAUUUAGUGGGGGACAACAUUCCGAAAGGAAUGCUAAUACCGCAUACGUCCUACGGGAGAAAGCAGGGGAUCUUCGGACCUUGCGCUAAAUGAUGAGCCUAAGUCGGAUUGGCUAGUUGGUGGGGUAAAGGCCUACCAAGGCGACGAUCUGUAGCGGGUCUGAGAGGAUGAUCCGCCACACUGGGACUGAGACACGGCCCAGACUCCUACGGGAGGCAGCAGUGGGGAAUAUUGGACAAUGGGCGGAAGCCUGAUCCAGCCAUGCCGCGUGUGUGAAGAAGGCCUUUUGGUUGCAAAGCACUUUAAGCGAGGAGGAGGCUCUCCUAGUUAAUACCUAGGAAGAGUGGACGUUACUCGCAGAAUAAGCACCGGCUAACUCUGUGCCAGCAGCCGCCGUAAUAC